UACGAAGGGGGCUAGCGUUGCUCGGAAUUACUGGGCGUAAAGGGCGCGUAGGCGGCACUGUUAGUCAGGCGUGAAAGUCCUGGGCUCAACCUGGGAACUGCGCUUGAUACGGCAGAGCUAGAGGAUGGAAGAGGCUCGCGGAAUUCCCAGUGUAGAGGUGAAAUUCGUAGAUAUUGGGAAGAACACCGGUGGCGAAGGCGGCGAGCUGGUCCAUUACUGACGCUGAGGCGCGACAGCGUGGGGGAGCAAACAGG
rnacentral:rRNA from 1 species